GGUGGCUCAGUGGUAGAGUGCUUGCCUUGCAUGCAGGAGGCCCUGGGUUCAAUUCCUCAGUACCA
rnacentral:tRNA from 1 species